UAUAAUUAAUUUGGGUCAUACUUCAUGUGUGGUUUUCUUGAGUUUUGAGUUGUUCAAACGUGCACUGUGAAAAUAAUGUUUACUUUUAUGUGAUCUAGAGAGUGUAUGAAAACCCAUAUGAAAAUUUCUUGUUUGUGUAUAAUUUGGGUCAUAUUUUGUGUGGGCUUCUUGAAUUUUGAGUUUUUAGAGCAUGAACUUGAAAUAUUGUUUACUUUCAUGUGAUCUCGAGAUUGUAUGAAAACCCAUAUGGGCUUCUUGAGAACUUAUAGACUUCAGUUUCUUGGAUAAUAUUUGGGUUUUAGCUUAUGAUGUGAACUUUUGAAUUGCAUUCGGUAGGUGCUUUUAUGUAUGGAGAGCAUAUGAAGACCAAGCCCUCCACGUGGGGUUCUUGGUACAUUAAUUCAUUAGGUUCUUGAAGUGUUAAUUCCUUUAAUUUGUUAUAAUGAGAGUUUUAAAUUGUUUCCGGUUGGCAAAAAGAGUUCUGCUGUUUGAACCAAUGGAGGACGAGCCUUUCGGAUGGUUAGAGGCAGAUAUCGAAAAAAUUCGCACAGGGAAUACUCGUGUCGUCAUUUUGCUAGUCGGUACUAAAGCCGAUGACAAUAUUGAUACUAUAGGCGGACGUGCGAUCGAGUUUGUUGAACAUCUCGGACUGCUGCCUUGCAAUUAUCACAGCUCGGCUGAGCAGAUGAUUAACAUAAGACAACCCUUUGAAGAAUUGGUCCGAGGAAUCUUGCACACGUUUGGGUCGCCAGAAUCUUGGUUUACCAUGUAAGUACUUAUUUUUAAAGUUGGGUUUAUUCAAUAUUGAUCCCUGCUUUUGAGAGAUCACCACGUCAUGAGUUAAUUAGAUCCUGUCCGAUUAAAAAAAUUAAUUGUAUUGUUUUUUACGAGAAAUUUGAAACUCGGGAGCAGGAGGCAGAAGAUUACGAGCACCAGACUCCUCCCCCAAAGAAUCGAAAAUCAAGAAGAAUGACGAUCGACAUCUCCGUCAUUGGCCCACGUGGCGUUAGGAAGACAGUGUUGAUUCGUAUAUUUUGUCACCUCGUGGGGGCCAAAUUCCCUAGCUCUAAGCCCCAUCGAGGUCAUCUCUCAACUCGAGUUAAUUUUGAGUUGGAUGGGGUUGGUGUUUCAUUGAACAUAUGGGAUGGGUACAGCAGUGGCUUGGCGGUAAGUCUAAAUUUAAUUGGAUCAUAUCUUUUAUUUAUGGACUUCUUGAAUUUUGUGUUUUUGGAACAUAAACUUUGAAUACUGUUUACUUUUAUGUGAUCUAAAGACUGUAUGAAAACCCAUGUUAAAAUUUCUUGUUUGUGUAUAAUUAAUUUAGGUCAUACUUCAUGUGCGGUUUUCUUGAGUUUUGAGUUGUUCGAACAUGAACUGUGAAAAUAAUGUUUACAUUUAUGUGAUCUAGAGACUGUAUGAAAACCCAUAUGAAAAUUUCUUGUUUGUGUAUAAUUUGGGUCAUAUUUUAUGUGUGGGCUUUUUGAAUUUUGAGUUUUUGGAGCAUGAACUGUGAAAAUAUUGUUUACUUUCAUGUGAUCACGAGAUUGUAUGAAAACCCAUAUGGGCUUCUUGAGAAAUUACAGGCUUCAGUUUCUUGGAUAAUAUUUGUGUUUUCGCUUAUGAUGUGAAAUUUUGAAUUGCGUUCGGUGAGUGCUUUUAUGUAUGGAGAGUGUAUGAAGACCAAGCCCUCCUCAUGGGGUUCUUGAUACAUUAAUUCAUUAGGUCCUUGAAGUGUUAGUUCAUUUAAUUUGUUAUAAUGUGAGUUUUAAAAUGUUUUCAGUUGGAAAAAGGAGUUCCUCUGCUGUUUGAUCCAUUGGAGGACAAGCCUUUCGGAUGGUUAGAGGUAGAGAUCGGAAAAUUUCACACAAGGAAUACUCGUGUCAUCAUUUUGCUAGUCGGUACUAAAGCGGAUGACAAUAUCGAUACCCUCGACGGACGUGCGAUCGCGUUUGAUGAAUGUAUCGGAAUUCUGCCUUGCUAUUAUCACACCUCGGCCGAGCAGAUGAUUAACAUAAGACAACCCUUUGAAGAAUUGGUCCAAGGAAUCUUGAACACGCUUGGGUCGCCAGAAUCAUGGUUUACCAUGUAAGUACUAGUUUUUUAAGUUGGGUUUAUUCGAUAUUGAUCACUACUUUUGAGAGAUCACCGCGUCACAAGUUAAUUAGAUCCUAUCCAAUUAAAAAAAAUCAACUGUAAUGU